rnacentral:rRNA from 1 species
UGGGGAAUAUUGCACAAUGGGCGAAAGCCUGAUGCAGCGACGCCGCGUGAGGGAUGACGGCCUUCGGGUUGUAAACCUCUUUCAGCAGGGACGAAGCGCAAGUGACGGUACCUGCAGAAGAAGCACCGGCUAACUACGUGCCAGCAGCCGCGGUAAUACGUAGGGUGCAAGCGUUGUCCGGAAUUACUGGGCGUAAAGAGUUCGUAGGCGGUUUGUCGCGUCGUUUGUGAAAACCAGCAGCUCAACUGCUGGCUUGCAGGCGAUACGGGCAGACUUGUGUACUGCAGGGGAGACUGGAAUUCCUGGUGUAGCGGUGAAAUGCGCAGAUAUCAGGAGGAACACCGGUGGCGAACGCGGGUCUCUGGGCAGUAACUGACGCUGAGGAACGAAAGCGUGGGUAGCGAACAGG